CACGUAGGGCGCAAGCGUUGUCCGGAAUUAUUGGGCGUAAAGAGCUCGUAGGCGGUCUGCCACGUCCGCUGUGAAAACCUAGGGCUUAACCCUGGGCUUGCAGUAGAUACGGGCAGACUAGAGGUAGGUAGGGGAGAAUGGAAUUCCCGGUGUAGCGGUGAAAUGCGCAGAUAUCGGGAGGAACACCGGUGGCGAAGGCGGUUGCCUGGAGCUUUGCUGACGCUGAUGCGCGAAAGCGUGGGGAGCGAUCCGG
rnacentral:rRNA from 1 species